rnacentral:rRNA from 1 species
UAUGUUGUCGCGGCUAUUGCUCGUCGUACGUCCGGACUCAGGGACCCUUUCGCACUUAGGCACUCCGACUUCUGUGAAUGGCUUAUUAAAUCAGUUAUAGUUUGUUUGAUGGUAUCUAAUACUCGGAUAACCAUAGUAAUUCAAGAGCUAAUACGUGCAACAAACCCCGACUUCUGGAAGGGAUGCAUUUAACAGAUAAAAGGUUGAUGCGGGCUCUGCCCAUUGCUGCGACGAUUUAUGAUAACUCGAUGGAUCGCACGACCAUUGUGCCGGCGACGCAUCAUUCAAAUUUCUAUCCUAUCAAGUUUCGAUGGUAGAAUAAUGGCCUACUAUGGUGGUGAUGGGUGACGGAGAAUUAGGGUUUGAUUUUGGAGACUGAGCCUGAGAAAUGGCUACCACAUCCAAGGAAGGCAGCAGGCGCGCAAAUUACCCAGUCCUGUUAGUUUUACCCUAGUUAUGACAGGUUAGUUUUACCAAAAGCAUGAAAGCGUGAUCCAUUAGACCUUUGAAAUUCGAAGGUAGAGGUGUUAGAAAAGUAUUAUCAUAGGGAUAACUGGCCUGUUGUAGGCAAGCGUUCAUAGCGACGUUUCUUUUUUAUCCUUCGGUGUCGGCUCUUCCUAUUAUUGUGAAGCAGAAUCCACCAAGUGUUGUACUGUUCACCCAUCAAUAGGGAACGUGAGCUGGGUUUAGACCGUCGUGAGACAGUUUAGUUUUACCCUACUUAUGACAGUGUCGCAGUAGUAAUUCAAACUAGUACGAGAGGAAACGUUUAUUCACACAAUUUGUCAUUGUGCUUGGUUGAAAAGCCAGUGGUGCAAAGCUACCAUGUGCUGGAUUAUGUCUGAACGCCUCUAAGUCAGAAUCCGGGCUAGAAGCGACGCAUGCUCCCGCUGUCCACUUGCUGACCCACAGUAGGGGCCUCGACCCCCAAGGGCACAUGUCGUUUGCUAAGCCACCGCGGUGGAAGAGUCGCGGUGGCCGUCUUGAAGUAUAAUUUCCAUUAAGCGGUGGGUAGAAUCCUUUGUAGACGACUUAAAUAUGCGACGGGGUAUUGUAAGUGGAAGAGUGGCCUUGCUGCUACGAUCAACUGAGAUUCAUCCGUUUGUCGCUCUGGUUCGUCUAUCCCCAUCCAAUCCAAUCAUUUUUCCUUCCAUCUCCAAAGGAUGUUUGUGCAUCCAUCCUUGAAAAAUCCCACUAAGUGUUGUGAGUUCACCUCACCUGAGUUAGCCACUUGUUUUUCAAGUGUCGCAUGCGUUCCAUUCCAAAUAGUUAAGUACAUGAUAUCAAGUGGCCUUUUGCGCAAAACAAUGGCUUCGCAACUAGAGGUUUUCUGUAAUGCAGAGUGCGGCUUAAGUGGAGCGUGCGGCUUAAUUUGACUCAACACGGGGAAACUUACCAGGUCCAGACAUAGUAAGGAUUGACAGACUGAUAGCUCUUUCUUGAUUCUAUGGGUGGUGGUGCAUGGCCUUUCUUAGUUGGUGGAGCAAUUUUUCUGGUUAAUUCUGUUAACGAACGAGACAUCAUCCUGCUAACUAGCUAUGCGAAGGUAUCCCUUUGCGGCCAUCUUCUUAGAGGGACUACGGCCUUUUAGGCCAUAGAAGUUUGAGGCAAUAACAGGUCUGUGAUGCCUUUAGAUGUUUCGGACUGCACGCGCGCUACACUGAUGUAUUCAAUGAUUUUAUAGCCUUGGCCAACAGGCUUGGGUAAUAUUUGAAAUUUCAUCAUGAUGGGGAUAGAUAAUUAUAAUUGUUGGUCUUCAAUAAAGAAUUCCUCGUAAGCGCGAGUCAUCAGCUCGCGUUGACUGCGUCCCUGCCCCUUGUACAUACCGCCUGUCGCUCCUACUAAUUGAAUGAUACAGUGAAAUAUUUGGAUCGCGGGGAUGUGGGUGGUUCACUGCCUGCGACGUCGUGAGAAGUCGAUUGAACCUUAUCAUUUAGAGGAAGGAGAAUUCAUAACAAGGUUUUCGUAGGUGAACCUGUGGAAGGAUCAUUG